UGAGGCAUAGCUGAAAUUUGAUGUCAAAACACAGCUCUGAGGGUUUUAAGAUACCCUAGAAACCAUGUAAUCAGAAUUUCAAAGGGAACUACACUUGAUAGUGUAACAGGAAACAGAUCUAUUUCUGAAUCUUAUGGUGGAAGAAUCUCAAGCUCAAAGGGCUGAUGCUACUGGCAGCGGCCCAGAAGUAGUUGCACUGUAACAACUAUGCUCCAAGUACCUUGGUGUGGAUCUCGGAACCAUCCUUUUACAUUUGGUUCUUCGCAUGAUUUGUCAAACUUUGCAAGUUGCACAGCAAAGCUUUGCCAAGAAAGAACAGGAAGUUUGGG
ensembl:lncRNA